CGCCCUUAGAGUUUGAUCCUGGCUCAAGAGGACCUCUGGCGGCGUGCUUAACACAUGCAAGUCGAGCGAAGCAUUUCGGAUGAUGUUUUCGGAUGGAUUCUGAAAUGACUGAGCGGCGGACGGGUGAGUAACGCGUGGAUAACCUGCCUCAUACAGGGGGAUAACAGUUAGAAAUGACUGCUAAUACCGCAUAAGCGCACAGGACCGCAUGGUCUGGUGUGAAAAACUCCGGUGGUAUGAGAUGGGUCCGCGUUGGAUUAGGCAGUUGGCGGGGUAACGGCCCACCAAACCGACGAUCCAUAGCCGGCCUGAGAGGGUGGACGGCCACAUUGGGACUGAGACACGGCCCAAACUCCUACGGGAGGCAGCAGUGGGGAAUAUUGCACAAUGGGGGAAACCCUGAUGCAGCGACGCCGCGUGAGUGAAGAAGUAUUUCGGUAUGUAAAGCUCUAUCAGCAGGGAAGAAAAUGACGGUACCUGACUAAGAAGCCCCGGCUAACUACGUGCCAGCAGCCGCGGUAAUACGUAGGGGGCAAGCGUUAUCCGGAUUUACUGGGUGUAAAGGGAGCGUAGACGGCUGUGCAAGUCUGAUGUGAAAGGCAGGGGCUCAACUCCCGGACUGCAUUGGAAACUGUGUAGCUUGAGUGCCGGAGAGGUAAGCGGAAUUCCUAGUGUAGCGGUGAAAUGCGUAGAUAUUAGGAGGAACACCAGUGGCGAAGGCGGCUUACUGGACGGUAACUGACGUUGAGGCUCGAAAGCGUGGGGAGCAAACAGGAUUAGAUACCCUGGUAGUCCACGCCGUAAAC
rnacentral:rRNA from 1 species